GCCUUCUUGGGAUUAGUAUUUUUGCCAUUAUUUUUUACAAUGUGGCAUAUUUAAAACAGGAAUAGUCAGACACUUUAUAAUGCUACUUUAUAAAGCCACUGACACCCUCACAAGUCCUACCUCUUCACUAGCCAGAACUCUCACCUUUUGUAACCUACAAGAACUGACAGUGAGUUUGCCAAGCUCCCAGAAUGCAGCAAGUCCUGCCCAACCAGCCUGUCAGAGAGUGAGGUGAUUUAUAAGCCAGAGUAUGAGGGAACCAAAUGUCAAAACAUAAGGGAAAGCCUCUGAGGAGGACAGCUAAAAAUAACUUUCCUUCACUAUUCCAUGAUACUCUGGGCGCAGGCUUAGCAAAUAGCCUGUUGCCUCGUUCCUGUAGAAGCCCACUCCAUAGUCACAGUAGGCACUGACAAUCCAACAGGACAUUCCUUCUCCCGGGACCUGAGCUGGGGGUCAUCAUCCUUCUCAUCACAACCAAACACUUCAGGAGUGAAAUAUGAAGCCUGGUCUCCAGCUGAGAAUGAGGAUGGAGUAGGAGAAGCUGGUGGUUUUUUGAGGGACAAGAAGGUGACAUAUGGUGGUCAUUCGGACACUACAGUCUUCUGUUUCACCUUUAUAUUACUGUCUGCUUUCUCCAACAGCCAGACUUUCUGCGCUAUAGGUAAGCAUAAAUGCUUCCUCGUUUUCUUAUCACUGUUAACCACAGGGGUAUCUACAGGCUUUUUUCAACAUUUUAAGCAUUAUCAAUAUUUAAG
rnacentral:lncRNA from 1 species